rnacentral:rRNA from 1 species
GUGCCAGCAGCCGCGGUAAUACGUAGGGUGCGAGCGUUGUCCGGAAUUACUGGGCGUAAAGGGCUCGUAGGUGGUUUGUCGCGUCGUCUGUGAAAUUCCGGGGCUUAACUCCGGGCGUGCAGGCGAUACGGGCAUAACUUGAGUACUGUAGGGGUAACUGGAAUUCCUGGUGUAGCGGUGAAAUGCGCAGAUAUCAGGAGGAACACCGAUGGCGAAGGCAGGUUACUGGGCAGUUACUGACGCUGAGGAGCGAAAGCAUGGGUAGCGAACAGGAUUAGAUACCCUGGUAGUCCAUGCCGUAAACGGUGGGCGCUAGGUGUGAGGGUCUUUUCACGACUUUCGUGCCGUAGCUAACGCAUUAAGCGCCCCGCCUGGGGAGUACGGCCGCAAGGCUAAAACUCAAAGGAAUUGACGGGGGCCCGCACAAGCGGCGGAGCAUGUGGAUUAAUUCGAUGCAACGCGAAGAACCUUACCUGGGCUUGACAUAUACAAGACAGGCGUAGAGAUACGUCCUCCCUUGUGGUUUGUAUACAGGUGGUGCAUGGUUGUCGUCAGCUCGUGUCGUGAGAUGUUGGGUUAAGUCCCGCAACGAGCGCAACCCUUGUCUUAUGUUGCCAGCAUUUGGUUGGGGACUCAUGAGAGACUGCCGGGGUUAACUCGGAGGAAGGUGGGGAUGACGUCAAAUCAUCAUGCCCCUUAUGUCCAGGGCUUCACACAUGCUACAAUGGUCGGUACAACGCGUCUGCGAGCCUGUGAGGGUGAGCUAAUCGCUGUAAAGCCGGUCGUAGUUCGGAUUGGGGUCUGCAACUCGACCCCAUGAAGUCGGAGUCGCUAGUAAUCGCAGAUCAGCAACGCUGCGGUGAAUACGUUCCCGGGCCUUGUACACACCGCCCGUCACGUCAUGAAAGUUGGUAACACCCGAAGCCAGUGGCCUGUCGUGGGAGCUGUCGAAGGUGGGAUCGGCGAUUGGGACGAAGUCGUAACAAGGUA